GUUUCCCUGCCUAAGUAAGCUAUAUACUAAGCUGACAAGUCACGUCGGGAGAGACCGGCUUUAUGCUGGCGCCGAAGGAGCAACCGCCCCGGAAACUCUCAGGCAAACGGACCGNNNAAAGAGAUGCGGCCGGACCGUCCGGCCCAGCAUCCGCCGACGGGAUAAUACUCUCAGGCGCAGCGACAGAUGGGGCUUCGACAAGGUUUCGGGAACCGUCCCGGAAUCCGUCAGGAGCCCUGAAUAUGCUUGCCACCGAGCGCCAACCAGACUCCGCCGAAACUGCGCUGAAGCGUGUUCCGCUGCACGACCUGCAUGG
rnacentral:misc_RNA from 1 species